GAUGAACGCUGGCGGCGUGCCUAAUACAUGCAAGUCGAGCGAACAGACGAGGAGCUUGCUCCUCUGACGUUAGCGGCGGACGGGUGAGUAACACGUGGAUAACCUACCUAUAAGACUGAGAUAACUUCGGGAAACCGGAGCUAAUACCGGAUAAUAUAUUGAACCGCAUGGUUCAAUAGUGAAAGACGGUUUUGCUGUCACUUAUAGAUGGAUCCGCGCCGCAUUAGCUAGUUGGUAAGGUAACGGCUUACCAAGGCAACGAUGCGUAGCCGACCUGAGAGGGUGAUCGGCCACACUGGAACUGAGACACGGUCCAGACUCCUACGGGAGGCAGCAGUAGGGAAUCUUCCGCAAUGGGCGAAAGCCUGACGGAGCAACGCCGAGUGAGUGAUGAAGGUCUUCGGAUCGUAAAACUCUGUUAUUAGGGAAGAACAAAUGUGUAAGUAACUAUGCACGUCUUGACGGUACCUAAUCAGAAAGCCACGGCUAACUACGUG
rnacentral:rRNA from 1 species